rnacentral:rRNA from 1 species
CCUACGGGUGGCAGCAGUGGGGAAUAUUGCACAAUGGGGGAAACCCUGAUGCAGCGACGCCGCGUGAGUGAAGAAGUAAUUCGUUAUGUAAAGCUCUAUCAGCAGGGAAGAAAAUGACGGUACCUGAGUAAGACGCCCCGGCUAACUACGUGCCAGCAGCCGCGGUAAUACGUAGGGGGCAAGCGUUAGCCGGAUUUACUGGGUGGAAAGGGAGCGUAGACGGCAGUGCAAGUCUGGAGUGAAAGGCGGGGGCUCAACCCCCGGACUGCUCUGGAAACUGUACGGCUGGAGUGCAGGAGAGGUAAGUAGAAUUCCUAGUGUAGCGGUGAAAUGCGUAGAUAUUAGGAGGAACACCAGUGGCGAAGGCGGCUUACUGGACUGUAACUGACGUUGAGGCUCGAAAGCGUGGGGAGCAAACAGGAUUAGAUACCCUUGUAGUC